GGCGACGUAGCCAAGUGGCUAAGGCGGGGGUCUGCAAAACCCUUAUUCCCCGGUUCGAGUCCGGGCGUCGCCUCCA
rnacentral:tRNA from 1 species